rnacentral:lncRNA from 1 species
CUCGCCCAGGCUCUCUGCCUCCAGCCAGCAGCCCCUGCCUCCACGUCGCGAUUUCCAUCGUGGGAAGGGAGGCCCCCGCCUCCGGAGGGCAAGGGGCUCUUUUGUUCACGAACUUCUUCCUCUUGGCUAGAAGGGCACCUGGCCCAACAGGUUCUCACAAUCUUUUCCAGCAAAUGUGGCAUCAACAGAAAGAGCUACUUGUCCACGGGCGGGUGCUCUCCAAGUCAUCUGUCAUCUACCAAGGACUCUGCCGUCUCCCUCUCCCACCCCUACAGCUUUAUCCUUUUUAAAGGCAUGUCCCUUAUAAACACACAUGGCUUGAACUGCUUUAACUUGACUAGCUUGAGAGUGUCUGUGUUUUAAAAAGCGUAUUUAACUUGUUUAUAUGUAUUGGAAUACUCCUAUAACUGGAACGCUGUCGACGCAUUUUGCGCUUUGUGUGGAUUAAGCCUGUUUCGCGUGCUUGUUCCUCGCCCUUUUACGCAGAUCGAUUCUGUUUUCCUGAGACGCGGCCUGACAGUCAUUAAGGACAUGGGCAGAGGCAGCCUUGAGUUCUAGCUCCAUCAUUUAUCAGCUGAGUGUUUUACGGCUUUGCUUCCUGGGGGCUCAGCUUCUCCAUCUGUAAAAUGGGUUACUUAUAACGCUUCACCAUGUUUGGGUGAAGAGUAAAUGGAUUAACAUCUGUCAUGUAUCUGCAGAGAACUAUACAAUUGUUGGCUCUCAUACUCAGCUUAUCUCCCUCUAUCACGUUGAUACAUUGUGUGUGUGUGUGUGUGUGUGUGUGCACAGAGAGUAUUAUUACUCUUGCAUUUUUAGCGCAUCUUUUAUUUUAUUUUUUAAAAAUUUUAUGGCUGCACCCAUGACAUGCGGCAGUUCCCAGGCCAGGGACUGGAUUUCAGCCACAGGUUGGACAACCCUGGAUCCUUUAAGCCACCACACCUGGCCGGGGAUCUAACCCACACCUCCACGGUGAACUGAGCUGCUGCAAUUGGAUUCUUAACCCACUGUGCCAUGGCGGGAAUGCCAGCGUAUCUUUCAUAAUAAGUCUGACACUAUUCGGUACCUUUAUCUUCCCCCCGAAUUUGACGCGGAUCGGUGUACCCUAACUUCCCUUUCCCACGGCACCCUUGGAUGGUGGUGGAUUGUUCCCUCAGCUGAAGUGGUUUUGGUCACCACCGGCAUCCUUUUCUUUCUUUUUUUUAGUGGUCUCUUUUAGGGCCUCACC